UACGAAGGGGGCGAGCGUUGUUCGGAAUUACUGGGCGUAAAGGGCGCGUAGGCGGCGACUCAAGUUAGAUGUGAAAGUCCUGGGCUUAACCUGGGGACUGCAUUUGAUACUGGGUUGCUUGAAUUCGGGAGAGGAUAGCGGAAUUCCCAGUGUAGAGGUGAAAUUCGUAGAUAUCUGGAGGAACACCGGUGGCGAAGGCGGCAUCCUGGACCGACAUUGACGCUGAGGAGCGAAAGCGUGGGGAGCGAACAGG
rnacentral:rRNA from 1 species